rnacentral:lncRNA from 1 species
CCGAGCCCCAAGGUCUGUAACUGCCUUCAUGGCCAGUGUGAUUCCUUCAUUAAUCCCUGCUGGUGCUCAAUGUCCUGCAUGGACGACAGCGGGAUUCUGGGAUCGGGAAAGAUCAAGAGUCUGUAAUUUGAGCUCUACCUUGCCUGGUUCAAGUUGCUUCCUCUGUUCCUGGGUCUUGAGGAGGUGGGUCCAAGGUGUUACUUGAGCGCUUGUAUUGAUUGGCCAACGAGGAGUUUGUUCUGUGAGUGAGGCAUUCUGCCACUAUCAGAUCUGUUUCUUUUCCUGCGCAUUUUAGGUACCUGUGUGUUCUUUGAAAGCAGAUCCUAGAGCACAGUCCUUGGCCUCCAGGUCGCAUUCAUUGACUGCAGGAGUGGCAGGAGGACACCAGGACACGAAAAGACAGGAAAUGGUGAAUGCUGUUGAGCGUCCCAGGUGUGGGAGGAGGCAGCUGCAACCUGGAGGCGGUAGAGCGGAAUUAACGGUCAUGCUGUGGUUAAGAACUCCAUAUGACUAGGCGCCUGCACAACCUGGCUCAAUUUCUCAUAAACCUCAAGUCAUGAGCUAAACCUCAGCUGCAGUUAAGUGACCACAAGAGCCUUGAGCCCGUUAUGUCAGGCAACAGACAGACACGUUUGUGUUAUUGAAGCUGGCAUUCCCAACCUGUGCCCCAAGUCAGGCCCAGCCCCCUGUUCUCAGUAAGCCAAUAAAGAAGAGCCAAAUAUUGGUGAAAAGCAGAAAAGAUGCAUUCAGUGUCUGUACAUUGGAAAGUGUUAACGCCUGGGGAACUGCUGCCUGCCUGUUUAGCAAGCCACUGCAUGCUGCUAUUGCUGUCACUAGGAGACUUCCUCAUGUCCAGGUUGAUUGCAUAUUCUGUUAUGUUCUGUGCUUUGGUGUUUUUUUGAAACCAAUCACAAUAAAGUCAGAAGUGCUUUGUAUAGUUAGCCGCAAUAAGCUUGGCCCUGAACCAAUGGCCUGGUAGCACUGUGUAUGCGCUUUUAUGGUUUUUGCUUUUGUUGUUGAUGUUGUUCUUAAAAUUUUUUAAAAGAUUUAUUUACUUUGAAUGUGCAUUGGUGUUUUACCUGUAUAUUUAUGCCUAUGUGAGGGUGCCAGCUCUCCUGGACCUGGAGUUACAAACAGGAGUUGUAAACUGCCAUAUGGGUGCUGGGAAUUGAACCAGGAUCCUAAACUCUGAGCUAUCUCUUCAGCCCAUGAUAAACAUUUUUUUCUUAAGAUUUAUUUAUUUAUUAUAUGUAAGUACACUGUAGCUGUCUUCAGACACUCCAGAAGAGGGCGUCAGAUCUCAUUACAGAUGGUUGUGAGCCACCAUGUGGUUGCUGGGAUUUAAACUCAGGACCUUUGGAAAAGCAGUUGGUGCUCUUAUCCGUUGAGCCAUCUCACCAGCCCCAACAUUUUUUAAUUAUUUAUUUUAUGUAUAUGAUUGCUCUAUCUGCAUGUAAACCUGUGUGCCAAAUCCCAUUACAGAUGUUUGUGAGCCACCAUGCGGUUUCUGGGAACUAAACACAGGACCUCUGGAAGAGUAGUCAGUGCUCUUAACAACUGAGCCAUAUCUCCAGUCCCUUGAUAACCAUUUUUAAUGGUCACUUAUUGUUGUGAUUUAUUUAAAAACAAAAACAAAAACCAACAAGAUAUGUUUGGUAGAGCUGAGUAUGGUGAGGUGGGAGGGAUGCAUUGGUGGGCCCAUGCUGAGGCAUCCCUUCCUCCUGAGGUACCAGUCAUACAAUGGGUAUAGUAUAGAAUAGAGUUUAUUUAUAGAUAUGGGAAAGGGAAUUGAGGAGGGAGUAGAGACAGAGAAUGACAGAGACAGACAGACGGACUGACAGGCUGAUGGGGACGGGGGGAGUGGGGAGAGGGAGAAAGGAGUCAGGGAGAGAAGAGAGUCAAAGAGAGACAAGGGGCAAAGAGCAGUUUUUGCUUUUAUAAGCUGCCCCUGGGAUGGCUGUGAGUAUUCAAUAAAUAAGAGAGACACCUACACCAAUAGAAGAAGCCAUUUGAAAUAAGACUUCUGGCUGGAGAGAUGGCUCAGAGGUUAAGAGCACUGACUGCUCAUUCAGAGGUCCUGAGUCCAAUUCCCAGCAACCACAUUGUGGCUCACAACCAUCUGUAAUGGGAGGGAAUUUAAAAACCUGUUUUGGUGUGUGUCUGAAGAGAUCAACAGUAUACUCACAUACAUAAAAUAAAUAAAUCUUAAAGAAAGAAAGAAAGAAAGAGAGAGAGAGAGAGAGAGAGAGAGAGAGAGGCUGCAAAACAAAAGAAGCGAGCAUGCCUGAGACAGUGGUUACUAACCACUGAACACGGGAAUGAAUGCUGGUCUCAUGCUGGGAAACAGUUUGUAACGUGUUCAGACUGCAUGCUUUCCAAGUCUCCUGAGGACAGCGCGACUAGAAACAGUGCGAUUCAUGUAUGGUGAGGAGAAGGCUGAGCCUCAGUCACAGUGGAAAACUGCAUAUUGGAGAUACCAGUAGAGGGGGACGAGCAUCCAGGACAGCAGCCUGAGCACAGGAGACUAUCUAUGUAUGCUUCCAGGAGCAGAGCUGGGGAAGUGGAGCUGUCUAAGUCAGUCCUUGGGAGCCCAGGAGAUGGUGCGUCAAUUCCAAUGUGGGACACUAAGCGAGGC